GAUCAUGGCUCAGGAUGAACGCUAGCGACAGGCCUAACACAUGCAAGUCGAGGGGCAGCGGAGAGGUAGCAAUACCUUUGCCAGCGACCGGCGCACGGGUGAGUAACACGUAUGCAAUCCACCUGUAACAGGGGGGAUAACCCGGAGAAAUCCGGACUAAUACCCCAUAAUAUGGGCGUUCCGCAUGGAGAGCUCAUUAAAGAGAGCAAUUUUGGUUACAGACGAGCAUGCGCU
rnacentral:rRNA from 1 species